AAGAAGAUUGGUUAUAGAAAUAGCUGCUAACUAAUUUCUAAAGCGGUUUAACUCCGUUUUCUUCUUA
rnacentral:tRNA from 1 species